ACUCCUACGGGAGGCAGCAGUGGGGAAUUUUGGACAAUGGGCGAAAGCCUGAUCCAGCAAUGCCGCGUGAGUGAAGAAGGCCUUCGGGUUGUAAAGCUCUUUUGUCAGGGAAGAAACGGUGAAAGCUAAUAUCUUUUGCUAAUGACGGUACCUGAAGAAUAAGCACCGGCUAACUACGUGCCAGCAGCCGCGGUAAUACGUAGGGUGCAAGCGUUAAUCGGAAUUACUGGGCGUAAAGCGUGCGCAGGCGGUUUUGUAAGUCUGAUGUGAAAUCCCCGGGCUCAACCUGGGAAUUGCAUUGGAGACUGCAAGGCUAGAAUCUGGCAGAGGGGGGUAGAAUUCCACGUGUAGCAGUGAAAUGCGUAGAUAUGUGGAGGAACACCGAUGGCGAAGGCAGCCCCCUGGGUCAAGAUUGACGCUCAUGCACGAAAGCGUGGGGAGCAAACAGGAUUAGAAACCCCAGUAGUCCCAUGAU
rnacentral:rRNA from 1 species